UACGUAGGGCGCAAGCGUUGUCCGGAAUUAUUGGGCGUAAAGAGCUCGUAGGCGGUUUGUCGCGUCUGCCGUGAAAGUCCGGGGCUCAACUCCGGAUCUGCGGUGGGUACGGGCAGACUAGAGUGAUGUAGGGGAGACUGGAAUUCCUGGUGUAGCGGUGAAAUGCGCAGAUAUCAGGAGGAACACCGAUGGCGAAGGCAGGUCUCUGGGCAGUAACUGACGCUGAGGAGCGAAAGCGUGGGGAGCGAACAGG
rnacentral:rRNA from 1 species